ACCCCGGGCGCUCGGGCCGCUGUGGCCGGAGCCCUAGGUCCUCGCGGGCUGCCCUGAGCAGAGUCCAGCGCCGGCGCUUCCCCUUUUUUUCGGCUGCCGCGCCCACUGGUGGGGGGGUGGCACGGUCCCAGGAAUUUGUGGUUCCUUUUUCCCGGAUGCGCUGGGGCACCAGGGUCAGUCCUGUGUGAGCAUCUCGACCUGCACAAGCCUGCUGGGAAACAGAACUGAGGCACUGGAAGUGGGUUCUGGGGAACGAAGAGCUUCUCUUUUUUGCCUGCCCUGACACUCCCAUCUUCAGAAAGUGUGCAGAGGUCAGAGGAGAGCCGCCGUUCCAGCUUCCGGGAUCACCGAGGGGAGGCUGGAGAGAAUGGACUGGCACCUGGGUCUCUUCAAGGACAGGCCUAGGUUAGCCCCCUUCUCGCCGAGGUCGGAAGAAUUAAGAGGGGUGUCACUGGAAGGGGCGUCAGUGGACACCAGUUUGAGGUCGUUGAGGGGUUGAAAGGUAGCAUUGGGGCCUGGAUGUGUGCCUGAGUCUCUGAAGGGUCAACAGGGGCAUGAUGUCAGGUGGUCAAUUUAAUUCACUAGGGGCUAUCAGAGUAUUUAAGGGCACACUUUCUUAAAGGUCCCGGUAGGAAGUGGUUUUGGCUUUGCUAUCGCUGCCCCAGCUGCUUAACUCAGCUGUGGCAGCAUGAAAGCAGACAAUAUAGUGUGGCUGUGUCCCAAAGAAACCAUUUAUGGACAAAGAAAUCAGAAUUUCAUGUAAUGUUCAUGUGUCAUGAAUUAUUCUAGUGUGUGUGUGUGGCCUACAGGCUGUCGUUUGCUGACCUUGGCUGAAGUGAUGGAGCGAUCAAAGUGGCUCUGUGGGGAUCAGCAGCUAGGGCUGUUUGAUUUAUCGUGGGGUCCGCAGGGGUCACUGUGAGAUUCAUGUUCAUCAUUUAUCAGUUUCAUCUUUGAGCAUUCUCAGGGAGGUAAUUGUUUAGGAUGGUGGUG
rnacentral:lncRNA from 1 species